rnacentral:rRNA from 1 species
UACGUAGGGUGCGAGCGUUGUCCGGAAUUAUUGGGCGUAAAGAGCUUGUAGGCGGCUUGUCGCGUCUGCUGUGAAAACCCGGGGCUUAACCCCGGGCUUGCAGUGGGUACGGGCAGGCUAGAGUGUGGUAGGGGAGACUGGAAUUCCUGGUGUAGCGGUGGAAUGCGCAGAUAUCAGGAGGAACACCGAUGGCGAAGGCAGGUCUCUGGGCCAUUACUGACGCUGAGAAGCGAAAGCGUGGGGAGCGAACAGGAUUAGAUACCCUGGUAGUCCACGCCGUAAACGUUGGGCGCUAGGUGUGGGUCCCAUUCCACGGGGUCCGUGCCGCAGCUAACGCAUUAAGCGCCCCGCCUGGGGAGUACGGCCGCAAGGCUAAA